rnacentral:rRNA from 1 species
UACGAAGGGGGCUAGCGUUGCUCGGAAUCACUGGGCGUAAAGCGCACGUAGGCGGCUUUCUAAGUCAGGGGUGAAAUCCUGGAGCUCAACUCCAGAACUGCCUUUGAUACUGGAGAGCUUGAGUCCGGAAGAGGUGAGUGGAACUCCGAGUGUAGAGGUGAAAUUCGUAGAUAUUCGGAAGAACACCAGUGGCGAAGGCGGCUCACUGGUCCGGUACUGACGCUGAUGUGCGAAAAGCGUGGGGAGCGAAACAGG